UGGGGAAUUUUGGACAAUGGGGGCAACCCUGAUCCAGCCAUUCCGCGUGAGUGAAGAAGGCCUUCGGGUUGUAAAGCUCUUUUGUCCGGAACGAAACGGUUAGCGUGAAUAUCGCUGACUACUGACGGUACCGGAAGAAUAAGCACCGGCUAACUACGUGCCAGCAGCCGCGGUAAUACGUAGGGUGCGAGCGUUAAUCGGAAUUACUGGGCGUAAAGCGUGCGCAGGCGGUUUUGUAAGCCAGAUGUGAAAUCCCCGGGCUUAACCUGGGAAUGGCAUUUGGGACUGCAAGGCUGGAGUGUGGCAGAGGAGACUGGAAUUCCUGGUGUAGCAGUGAAAUGCGUAGAUAUCAGGAGGAAUACCGAUGGCGAAGGCAGGUCUCUGGGCUGACACUGACGCUCAUGCACGAAAGCGUGGGGAGCAAACAGGAUUAGAUACCCGUGUAGUCC
rnacentral:rRNA from 1 species